rnacentral:rRNA from 1 species
GAAACUUAAAGGAAUUGACGGAAGGGCACCACCAGGAGUGGAGCUGCGGCUUAAUUUGACUCAACACGGGAAAACUCACCAGGCCCGGACACCGGAAGGAUUGACAGAUUGAGAGCUCUUUCUUGAUUCGGUGGGUGGUGGUGCAUGGCCGUUCUUAGUUGGUGGAGCGAUUUGUCUGGUUAAUUCCGAUAACGAACGAGACUCUAGCCUACUAACUAGGCGUACCCGGUAUCCACAAUCGUGCUACCGGCGAUCAUAUUUCUUCUUAGAGGGACAGGCGGCUUCUAGCCGCACGAGACUGAGCAAUAACAGGUCUGUGAUGCCCUUAGAUGUCCUGGGCCGCACGCGCGCUACACUGAAGGAAUCAGCGUGUCUUCCCUGUCCGAAAGGACCGGGUAACCCGCUGAACCUCCUUUGUGCUAGGGAUUGGGGCUUGCAAUUGUUCCCCAUGAACGAGGAAUUCCCAGUAAGCGCGAGUCAUAAGCUCGCGUUGAUUACGUCCCUGCCCUUUGUACACACCGCCCGUCGCUACUACCGAUUGAAUGAUUUAGUGAGGUCUUCGGACUGGUGCGCGGAGGCCGCUUACGUGGUCUCCGAUGUUGCCGGAAAGAUGACCAAACUUGAUCAUUUAGAGGAAGUAAAA